UGUAAUCAGCUGAAAAAUAUAAGAUGUUUUUUGGUGUAAUAAUUUUUAGUAGACCGAAUAUUUACAAAUUUCCAUGCUUCAUGGAUGUCAUCUUGUUGUUGAGAGAAGGAUAUCUGCUCAGUGAUCACCUAAUAUAACCUCCUAAUCCGCCAUUGUGCUUGUAUUAAUAAAAAUACCAAAAAUUUAUCCUUUAAUUUGCCUCCUCCCAAGCAAACAGAGUACAACUUUCUAACUUGACCCAUUUCGAUUCUUUGCCGUACUUAUCGAUGCAUCCAUUUGUGUUAUGUUCGUACCCGAUUUUAUUAGCUGGGUAGAUCCAAGAUGUGCAGAAUGACGAGGUUCGGGAUGUGGGCUGAUUGCGUGAAGAAGAAGAGAAAAGAGGAAGAUGAACAAGCACAAGCACAAGCACAGGAAAGCUGAGGAAGAGGCUCAGAAGACAGACUUGGAUUUCUUUGCUGUUUUCUUUUUCUCGUGAUGAUGAUGAUGAUGAUGCUUCUACAGCUAGCUACAAUCUGUUUUCAGAUGAAGAAAUCUGCUGGUUCGCUUCCAUGUCUUACGUAGUUGUUGGUUCAAGUAUACUCUGUAUUUUGCAGCUCUCUCUCUAUCCCUUAUUUUCCUACUUUUUUUUUUAAAGGUAUAUUGACAUUGGCAACAUCAUAGGUGGGUUCUUGCCAUUGAUUGAGUUUUCUUGGAGUUUGGUUAUGCUUAAUCUCUUUGUAACAUCAAACAAAUAAGAACCGAUAACUUUUAUUUGGACCAUUUAGUGGUCACUCUGGUAAUAGAAAUCAGUUUCUAUAAAUAGAUAGGAUUGUAUGAAAGCAUAAAAUUAGCCAUUUGUACUUUUGUUAGACUCUUGCCAUGAGAAUUUUGGGUCAAUUGCCUGUUAAGGCAAUAGUCAGGCAUAGUUGCAAAUAUGAUUGUAUUUGUUAUUUAA